GUGUCAACAAGCUAUAUGACUGUCUUGGAAAAGCAAAAUACUCUAUGAAGCUAAUCUUCUCAGUAAGUAACAUAAAUGCUUAAUAAUGCUGUAAUGUAACAAGUUACUUUUGAACAUAAUGUCUCCCAACAUUGGCUAACACAACAAGGAUCCCAAAGACUAGCCCUAAACACAGAUUUCACAUAUACUGAGGGUCACCGUAUUGAUGUUCAUGUGUUUCCUUCUUCUCUUUUCAGGAAGUAAAAACCCAUCUCCUCUUCCUGUGGAUGUGACCUAUGCUGAUGUCACGAUCAAUCAGAGAGCCAAUAGGAGUGACAAACAGCCUGCUGAUACACGAGCCGUCUACUCUGAUGUUAGGACUCAAACUUCAGAGCAGUCACCUGAUCCAUGUCCUGUGUACUCAUCAGAGAGAGCAGGAAGCUGAGGACACACUCGGUCUGAUGGACGACCUUCAUCCUUCACUCUGCUCCUCUUUCAGUGCCUGCUGAGGCAUCAUCAGUUAUUCCUGAAACUUCAUUAGUCAGUGUUGAUCAUAGAGGGGAAGAGUUGUAUUUUUAAAAUUAGUUUUGCCGUUUUCAUUCUUCUGCAAACAUGUGAACGACUUUAAAGGCUCCACAUACAUGUAAUAAA